rnacentral:tRNA from 1 species
GCCUUUGUGGUGUAGUGGUCAGCUCUCUCGACUCGUAACCGAGAGGUCCGUGGUUCGAUUCCCGGCGAAGGCG